GUGCUUGCUUCAGCAGCAUAUAUGCUAAAAUUGGAAUGAUACAAAGAUUAGUGUGACUUCUGUGCAAGUAUGACAUGAAAUUAAUGAAGCAUUCUAUAUUUUU